rnacentral:rRNA from 1 species
GUGGAGUGGCGAACGGGUGAGUAACACGUGGGUGAUCUGCCCUGCACUCUGGGGUGAUAAGCCUGGGAAACUGGGUCUAAUACCGGAUAUGACCAACUGUCGCAUGGUGGUGGUUGGUGGAAAGCUUUUGCGGUGUGGGAUGGGCCCGCGGCCUAUCAGGUGCUUGUUGGUGGGGUAAUGGCCUACCAAGGCGACGACGGGUAGCCGACCUGGUGAGAGGGUGAUCGGCCACACUGGGACUGAGACACGGCCCAGACUCCUACGGGUGGAGGCAGCAGUGGGGAAUAUUGCACAAUGGGCGCAAGCCUGAUGCAGCGAGUGCGCCGCGUGAGGGAUGACGGCCUUCGGGUUGUAAACCUCUUUCACCAGGGGUGACGAAGCGUGAGUGACGGUACCUGGAGAAGAAGCACCGGCCAACUACGUGGUGCCAGCAGCCGCGGUAAUACGUAGGGUGCGAGCGUUGUCCGGAAUUACUGGGUGGCGUAAAGAGCUCGUAGGCGGUUUGUCGCGUCGUCUGUGAAAUUCUGCAAGUGCUCAAUUGCAGGCGUGCAGGCGAUACGGGCAGACUUGAGUACUACAGGGGGUGAGACUGGAAUUCCUGGUGUAGCGGUGAAAUGCGCAGAUAUCAGGAGGAACGUGACCGGUGGCGAAGGCGGGUCUCUGGGUAGUAACUGACGCUGAGGAGCGAAGUGAGCGUGGGUAGCGAACAGGAUUAGAUACCCUGGUAGUCCACGCCGUAAACGUGGGUGGGUACUAGGUGUGGGUUCCUUUUCACGUG